AAGUCGUAACAAGGUUUCCGUAGGUGAACCUGCGGAAGGAUCAUUAACACGUAUCCAACGUUAAAAACCCCGUGAACCUUCAUCGCCGCUCCUCAUGGCUAAGUCUUGGAUAAAGCGUCAGUGAAUGACAGUGUCGCUGAUUGUCUAAGGUUCGCUUUACGAUCACUGGAGGUCGACCGGUGGAACAAGUCACAGGGCUUCGGCUCCCUCCCCAACCCCACUUUCUAUUGCCGCUAACACGCCGGGCAUUCAAAAACGUUUAAACAACUGUUAACAAUGGAUAUCUGGUUCUC
rnacentral:misc_RNA from 1 species